CAAUAGUGUAUAUUAAAGUUGUUGCGGUAAAAAAGCUCGUAGUUGGAUUUCUACCGAAGAUAGCCGGUCGGGUCUUCGACCUUGUAUCUGGUUUUGUCUUUGGUAUCCUCAUAGGGAACGUUUCUGCGCUUUAUUGCGUGGUGCGGUAUCUAUGACUUUUACUUUGAGGAAAUUAGAGUGUUCACGGCAGGCAAACGCCUUGAAUAUAUUAGCAUGGAAUAAUAACAUAGGAUCUUCGUCCUAUUUUGUUGGUUUCUAGGGCUAAGAUAAUGAUUAAUAGGGAUAAUUGGGGGCAUCUGUAUCAACGCGUCAGAGGUGGAAUUCUUGGAUUGCGUUGCGACAAACUACUGCGAAAGCAUUUGCCAAGGAUGUUUUCAUUGA
rnacentral:rRNA from 1 species